rnacentral:tRNA from 6 species
GGAGAGUUGUCCGAGCUGGCCGAAGGAGCACGCCUGGAAAGUGUGUAGGCGCCAACAAGCGUCUCGAGGGUUCGAAUCCCUCACUCUCCG